GUGGACAAGCACAAGUGCUUCUGAAGCAGAGUCAAGCAUCCAUUACCAGAGGGCACACUACCACUGCAUGGAUGAACUGCAUAGCCAAGGGCAUAUCUGACUUCCAGGGUGCAUAUAUACAUUGGUACCGACAUGAGCCUCCCAAAGCUCCGGAACACAUUCUGUGUGUUGGACCAACUUCACUUUAUUAUGACAGCAAUUCCAACAGGAACAUGCAUUUUUCUUUGAAGAAAGGUACCAAUGUCUGUGCUUUUGCAGUCAAUGACAUCACCUCCAACGAUGAAGGCACCUACUACUGUGCUUACUGGCUGUCCCACAGAACCAGCAGAUGA